rnacentral:lncRNA from 1 species
UCUUUAGUAAACGCGAUGUAUUGGCAGCUAGAUUUGGAGUGAAGUGAAUGUGAGUGAAGCUGGAAGCAGAUUCUGCAAGAAACCCAAAUGUUGGAGGGGGGUUUUCCAAGCGUCAGAGUCUUAGGUCUCUCAAUACCCCCUUUGACACUCGUGGCCACACUCUUCCGCCAUGCCCAUUACAGUGACUCACUCGGAACUGCUUGGGAAUCAGUGACUUGGGAGUUUUAGGAUGAAGCUUCUACCAACCUGAGUGUCUGAGUAAGAUGAGCAGAAUUCCCUCACCCACCAAUGCUAUGGAUCAAGUUAAAGAAUAAUCCUUGGUAAAUCUUGGCUGCGGGUGACUGAUGGAAGUUUCAGAGGCUGGACUGGAAGAUGAAACUGGGGCAAGAUGUUACACAGCAUGGCCUCAGGAACCUGAGCUCCAGCAACCUGCGGGUCCCAAUGGAGGCGAAGUCAAGGAGCGUCUCAGAGAGUGGUUGAUGUGUGAAGUCUCUGUCUGCCCAUCUGAAUAACAAGAGAUGGGGCUUGUGAUUUUCCUCCACGGACCCCUACCUGAGGGCCUCCAGGAGGAAUGACAUCUCAAACAGAAACCUGCAUAACAUCAGCCCAAACCAAGGACCCAUUUUAUCAUCAAAGAGGUGUGCCAUGAAUGCAUGACUGUGGGAUCCACUGCUUUGACCACAUAUGGAUGACUUGGAAGCUGCCAGCCUACAUGAACAAUGGAAAGG